GUAGAGUGCACGCGAAAAGGGGUUUGCACUCCACAUCACUCCUUUUUCUUGGUACAAGGUGUUUCGCGCUGUCCACCGUGCUGUUUUUUCUCAAAAGGCUGGUGUGUGCGAAAAUCGCCCGCGGCCCUCUACGGGGCUCAAAGUGCAUUUGCCUGUGCAGGGAACCAUCGUGUUUUCUCGGGGUGAGCUGCGCUGUCAGGUUCUGAGAAACGACACUUUCGUCAUGCGGAAAAAAAGUGAGGCCUGAGUUGCUGGCCAGAGGCUGUUACAACUUUCUUGCGCGGGUUCCAACCGCGCGUAGUCGAACUGAGGUGCAAGAUUGCUACUGACUGCUGCCGUUUUAUUCGAGAAGAAGGAGUCUUUCCAUACCCCAGUUGUGUGACGCUCACUGCGGUUCGUGAAAGAGGGGUCUGCCAGUUGAGAAUUCUCUCGUUUGCUUUCUGUGUCUUUGAAGACAAGUUCUGCGUGUUUGGCAUCCAAACGCGAAGAAGAGGGGUUGCUCACAGGGUUUGUCGUUCCACAGUUUACCCCAGGAUCUGACAGACACGCAUGUUCCGUCAUUUUUUCUUGUCGCCUCGUAGUGUGACUCACCAGGUGGCAGAUCAUCUUUGGAGUUCUAUUCGCUGAUAUCGUCUAAGUCGAUUUCGGGAAGUUCAGAACAUAACCGUACUUUGUUGGUCUGUACGAGCGCGGGUGGAAGCAUGAUGCUGCGGAGCAUGUCUACGUGUUGAAAAUUUUCAUUAGCUGGAAAGAGAGGCUUGGCAAUCCUGUCAGCUGGAGAGAUGAACGUAAACAGACUCGGAGACGAGAAACAAUGUUAGGUCCAACGGCA
rnacentral:lncRNA from 1 species